GACGUAGGGCGCGAGCGUUGUCCGGAUUUAUUGGGCGUAAAGAGCUCGUAGGCGGCUUGUUACGUCGUUCGUGAAAACUUGGGGCUCAACCCCAAGCUUGCGGUCGAUACGGGCAGGCUAGAGUUCGGUAGGGGAGACUGGAAUUCCUGGUGUAGCGGUGAAAUGCGCAGAUAUCAGGAGGAACACCGGUGGCGAAGGCGGGUCUCUGGGCCGAUACUGACACUGAGGAGCGAAAGCGUGGGGAGCGAACAGG
rnacentral:rRNA from 1 species